ACUGAAGAGUUUGAUCAUGGCUCAGAUUGAACGCUGGCGGCAGGCCUAACACAUGCAAGUCGAGCGAGAAAGCACUUCGGUGUGAGUACAGCGGCGGACGGGUGAGUAACGCGUAGGAAUCUACCCAGUAGUGGGGGACAACAGUCGGAAACGGCUGCUAAUACCGCAUACGCCCUACGGGGGAAAGCGGGGGACCUUCGGGCCUCGCGCUAUUGGAUGAGCCUGCGUAAGAUUAGCUAGUUGGUGAGGUAAAGGCUCACCAACUAGCUAAUCUUACGCAGGCUCAUCCAAUAGCGCGAGGCCCGAAGGCCCCCCGCUUUCCCCCGUAGGGCG
rnacentral:ncRNA from 1 species